AGGGCCGCUACCACGCGAGUGGAUGCCAAUCCCUAAAACCCUCUCAGUUCGGACUGGAGUCUGCAACCCGACUCCACGAAGCUGGAUUCGCUAGUAAUCGCGCAUCAGCCACGGCGCGGUGAAUACGUUCCCGGGCCUUGUACACACCGCCCGUCAAGCCAUGGGAGCCGGGGGUACCUGAAGUGCGUAACCGCGAGGAUCGCCCUAGGGUAAAACUGGUGACUGGGGCUAAGUCGUAACAAGGUAAC
rnacentral:rRNA from 1 species